GGAUCCAGACUUUGAUUAUGGCUCAGGACGAACGCUGGCGGCGCGCCUAACACAUGCAAGUCGAACGGAGAUUACAGGCGGAAGUUUUCGGAUGGAAGCUUGUAAACUUAGUGGCGGACGGGUGAGUAACACGUGAGCAACCUGCCUAUCAGAGGGGGAUAACGAUUGGAAACGAUCGCUAAUACCGCAUGACAUAGCGGAACCGCAUGGUUCUGUUAUCAAAGAUUUUAUCGCUGAUAGAUGGGCUCGCGUCCGAUUAGAUAGUUGGUGGGGUAACGGCCUACCAAGUCGACGAUCGGUAGCCGGACUGAGAGGUCGAACGGCCACAUUGGGACUGAGACACGGCCCAGACUCCUACGGGAGGCAGCAGUGGGGGAUAUUGCACAAUGGGGGAAACCCUGAUGCAGCGACGCCGCGUGAGGGAAGACGGUCCUCUGGAUUGUAAACCUCUGUCUUCGGGGACGAAACGAGACGGUACCCGAGGAGGAAGCCACGGCUAACUACGUGCCAGCAGCCGCGGUAAUACGUAGGUGGCAAGCGUUGUCCGGAAUUACUGGGUGUAAAGGGAGCGUAGGCGGGCAGGCAAGUCAGGCGUGAAAUAUAUCGGCUCAACCGGUAACGGCGCUUGAAACUGCAGGUCUUGAGUGAAGUAGAGGUUGGCGGAAUUCCUAGUGUAGCGGUGAAAUGCGUAGAUAUUAGGAGGAACACCAGUGGCGAAGGCGGCCAACUGGGCUUUUACUGACGCUGAGGCUCGAAAGUGUGGGGAGCAAACAGGAUUAGAUACCCUGGUAGUCCACACCGUAAACGAUGAUUACUAGGUGUGGGGGGACUGACCCCUUCCGUGCCGGAGUUAACACAAUAAGUAAUCCACCUGGGGAGUACGGCCGCAAGG
rnacentral:rRNA from 1 species